rnacentral:rRNA from 1 species
UCGGGAAUUUUGGGCAAUGGGCGAAAGCCUGACCCAGCAACGCCGCGUGAGGGAUGAAGUAUUUCGGUAUGUAAACCUCGAAAGAAUGGGAAGAAUAAAUGACGGUACCAUUUAUAAGCUCCGGCUAACUACGUGCCAGCAGCCGCGGUAAUACGUAGGGAGCAAGCGUUGUUCGGAUUUACUGGGCGUAAAGGGCGCGUAGGCGGCGCGGUAAGUCACUUGUGAAAUCUCUGAGCUUAACUCAGAACGGCCAAGUGAUACUGCUGUGCUAGAGUGCGGAAGAGGCAACCGGAAUUCUUGGUGUAGCGGUGAAAUGCGUAGAGAUCGGGAGGAACAUCUGUGGCGAAGGCGACUGCCUGGACCAGCACUGACACUGAGGCACGAAAGCGUGGGGAGCAAACA